UACGUAGGGUGCAACUGGUAAUCGGAAUUACUGGGCGUAAAGCGUGCGCAGGCGGUUAUAUAAGACAGAUGUGAAAUCCCCGGGCUCAACCUGGGAACUGCAUUUGUGACUGUAUAGCUAGAGUACGGUAGAGGGGGAUGGAAUUCUGCGUGUAGCAGUGAAAUGCGUAGAUAUGCGGAGGAACACCGAUGGCGAAGGCAAUCCCCUGGACCUGUACUGACGCUCAUGCACGAAAGCGUGGGGAGCAAACAGG
rnacentral:rRNA from 1 species